GCCCCCGUAGCUCAAAGGCAGAGCGUUGGACUUUUAAUCCAAGCGUUGACGGUUCGAGUCCGUCCGGGGGUACCA
rnacentral:tRNA from 3 species